rnacentral:rRNA from 1 species
UACGAAGGGUGCAAACGUUGCUCGGAAUUAUUGGGCGUAAAGCGCACGUAGGCGGCUAUCUAAGUCGGAUGUGAAAUCCCUCGGCUUAACCAAGGAAGUGCACCCGAAACUGGAUAGCUUGAGUACAGAAGAGGAUCGCGGAAUUCCCGGUGUAGAGGUGAAAUUCGUAGAUAUCGGGAGGAACACCAGUGGCGAAGGCGGCGAUCUGGGCUGAUACUGACGCUGAGGUGCGAAAGCGUGGGAGCAACAGG